GGAAUUUUGGACAAUGGGGGCAACCCUGAUCCAGCCAUUCCGCGUGAGUGAAGAAGGCCUUCGGGUUGUAAAGCUCUUUUGUCCGGAACGAAACGGGUGGCGUGAAUAUCGCCAUCUACUGACGGUACCGGAAGAAUAAGCAACGGCUAACUACGUGCCAGCAGCCGCGGUAAUACGUAGGUUGCGAGCGUUGUCCGGAUUGACUGGGCGUAAAGCGCGCGCAGGCGGUUCCGAAAGUCGAAUGUGAAAGCUCCCGGCCCAACUGGGAGAGGCCGUUCGAAACUUCGGGACUUGAAGGCGGGAGAGGCAGAUGGAAUUUCCGGUGUAGCGGUAAAAUGCGUAGAUACCGGAAGGAACACCAGUGGCGAAAGCGAUCUGCUGGCCCGCCCUUGACGCUCAGGCGCGAAAGCUAGGGGAGCGACC
rnacentral:rRNA from 1 species